rnacentral:rRNA from 1 species
CCUACGGGAGGCUGCAGUGAGGAAUAUUGGUCAAUGGACGAGAGUCUGAACCAGCCAAGCCGCGUGAAGGAUGACUGCCCUAUGGGUUGUAAACUUCUUUUAUAUGGGAAUAAAAUGUUCCACGUGUGGGAUUUUGUAUGUAUCAUACGAAUAAGGAUCGGCUAACUCCGUGCCAGCAGCCGCGGUAAUACGGAGGAUCCGAGCGUUAUCCGGAUUUAUUGGGUUUAAAGGGAGCGUAGGUGGCUAGUUAAGUCAGUUGUGAAAGUUUGCGGCUCAACCGUAAAAUUGCAGUUGAAACUGGCAGGCUUGAGUACAGUAGAGGUAGGCGGAAUGCGUGGUGUAGCGGUGAAAUGCUUAGAGAUCACGAAGAACUCCGAUUGCGAAGGCAGCUCACUGGACUGCAACUGACGCUGAGGCUCGAAAGUGUGGGUAGCAAACAGGAUUAGAUACCCUGGUAGUC